AGAGCUGCAUCAUCAAGCGGUACUGCGAGAAGAGGUUCGUGCCCAAGUACCUGGCCACCAUCGGCAUCGACUACGGCGUCACCAAGGUGCAGAUCCGGGACCGGGAGAUCAAGGUGAACAUCUUCGACAUGGCCGGGCACCCCUUCUUCUACGAGGUGCGGAACGAGUUCUACAAGGACACGCAGGGGGUGCUGCUGGUGUACGACGUGGGCUCCAAGGAAUCCUUCG
rnacentral:lncRNA from 1 species